rnacentral:rRNA from 1 species
UACGGGGGGGGCAAGCGUUGUUCGGAAUUACUGGGCGUAAAGGGCUCGUAGGCGGCCAACUAAGUCAGACGUGAAAUCCCUCGGCUUAACCGGGGAACUGCGUCUGAUACUGGAUGGCUUGAGUUUGGGAGAGGGAUGCGGAAUUCCAGGUGUAGCGGUGAAAUGCGUAGAUAUCGGGAGGAACACCAGUGGCGAAGGCGACUACCUGGCCUGUUCUUGACGCUGAGGCGCGAAAGCUAGGGGAGCAAACGGG